rnacentral:lncRNA from 1 species
UUUUAUGGCUAUUAUCUUACUGUGUAUGUUUACUGUGUAUUUGUCCAGUCUACCAUUGCUGACUUUUGAUAUUUUAAGGCUUUUAUUUUAUACAGUGUUGCAAUAAAUAUUUCAUGCUAUAUUCUCUUGAACAUUAUAUGCUAAUAUCUUUUUAAUUUUUAUGUCAUUUUAUACACACAUAUAUGCACACACACAUAUACACUACAUAUAUAUUCAACUGCAUUAGAUAAUGCUAAAUAGUUUCCAAAAUACUUAUAACAAAUUACUCUCCCAUCAGCAAUUCAUGAGACUUCCACUCUUUUAAGCAUACUACCAUCAGUUGGUAUUUUAGGGCCUUUUCAUUUUUAGCUAUCUGGCUGGUGUGUAAUUGUAUCUUAUUGUGAAUUUAAUUUCAUUUGCCUGAUGAUUAAUAAAAUUAUACAUCUUCUAAAAUGUUUAUCAGACACUUGUAUUUCCAUUAUUUUUCCAGAUAUAGGCACGCUUCAGAGAUUGCAGAGUUAAUUGCAGACCACUGCAAUAAAGAGGGUGCAACUCUACCAACAUGAACAACCAAGGAAGGAGAAAUGACAUGGGGGCCAAGUCCUGAUGACCACGCAGCAAGCCCGUGAGUGACGUUCCAAGUCACUCCCAGCCCCUCAUGUAAGCAUCAAGGUGGAUACUACAAUGAAAACCAACUGUCACUGCAUCCUACCUCAAGGCUUUUUAUUUUCAAGAAAAGCCUUCUGAACAAAAAAAUAAAAGAAACAGCAUUUUCCAGUGACUCUUGCACUAAAGCAAAAAGGAGUUUAGAUAAAAUCAAGCCUUUUGGUGCAGGCCCUUGUUUUAAAAUGACACUUAAACACUUCAAGGUGAAGAACAAGUUUAGCACGGAUUCCUCCCAAGAAGAUGGAGCCAUUGCUGUCUUGAUAGUCAACAAAAAGCAACUGCAAAUGUUGUUGACAUAGACUAUGCC